GGUUAAGUGACUAAGCGUACACGGUGGAUGCCUGGGCAGUCAGAGGCGAUGAAGGACGUACUAACUUGCGAUAAGCGCAGAUAAGGCAGUAAGAGCCGUUUGAGUCUGCGAUUUCCGAAUGGGGAAACCCAACUGCAUAAGCAGUUACUGUUAACUGAAUACAUAGGUUAACAGAGCAAACCGGGGGAACUGAAACAUCUAAGUACCCCGAGGAGAAGAAAUCAACCGAGAUUCCGGUAGUAGCGGCGAGCGAACCUGGAUUAGCCCUUAAGCACUCGGUGAAGUAGGUGAACAAGCUGGAAAGCUUGGCGAUACAGGGUGAUAGCCCCGUAACCGACGCUUCAUCGAGCGUGAAAUCGAGUAGGGCGGGACACGUGAUAUCCUGUCUGAAUAUGGGGGGACCAUCCUCCAAGGCUAAAUACUCCUGACUGACCGAUAGUGAACCAGUACCGUGAGGGAAAGGCGAAAAGAACCCCUGUGAGGGGAGUGAAAUAGAACCUGAAACCGUGUACGUACAAGCAGUAGGAGCACCUUCGUGGUGUGACUGCGUACCUUUUGUAUAAUGGGUCAGCGACUUAUAUUCAGUGGCAAGGUUAACCGUAUAGGGGAGCCGUAGCGAAAGCGAGUCUUAACUGGGCGCUCAGUCUCUGGAUAUAGACCCGAAACCGGGUGAUCUAGCCAUGGGCAGGUUGAAGGUUGAGUAACAUCAACUGGAGGACCGAACCGACUAAUGUUGAAAAAUUAGCGGAUGACUUGUGGCUAGGGGUGAAAGGCCAAUCAAACUCGGAGAUAGCUGGUUCUCCCCGAAAGCUAUUUAGGUAGCGCCUCGGACGAAUACUACUGGGGGUAGAGCACUGUUAAGGCUAGGGGGUCAUCCCGACUUACCAACCCUUUGCAAACUCCGAAUACCAGUAAGUACUAUCCGGGAGACACACGGCGGGUGCUAACGUCCGUCGUGGAGAGGGAAACAACCCAGACCGCCAGCUAAGGUCCCAAAGUAUUGCUAAGUGGGAAACGAUGUGGGAAGGCUCAGACAGCUAGGAUGUUGGCUUAGAAGCAGCCAUCAUUUAAAGAAAGCGUAAUAGCUCACUAGUCGAGUCGGCCUGCGCGGAAGAUGUAACGGGGCUAAGCAAUACACCGAAGCUGCGGCAAUAUCUUUUAGAUAUUGGGUAGGGGAGCGUUCUGUAAGCCGUUGAAGGUGAAUCGUAAGGUUUGCUGGAGGUAUCAGAAGUGCGAAUGCUGACAUGAGUAACGACAAAGGGGGUGAAAAACCUCCUCGCCGGAAGACCAAGGGUUCCUGUCCAACGUUAAUCGGGGCAGGGUGAGUCGACCCCUAAGGUGAGGCCGAAAGGCGUAAUCGAUGGGAAACGGGUUAAUAUUCCCGUACUUCUGACUAUUGCGAUGGGGGGACGGAGAAGGCUAGGUGGGCCAGGCGACGGUUGUCCUGGUUCAAGUGCGUAGGCUUGAGA
rnacentral:rRNA from 1 species